ACUCCAACUAAACAGUUCAGGUAUUGGAGAUGAGGGUGCAAGGGUUAUUGCAGAUAUGCUGAAAGAAAAUCAAACUUUACGUGUACUGGAACUUAACAAUAAUAUGAUUGAAUAUUCUGGUUUUGCAAGUCUUGCUGGAGCACUAGUUGAGAAUAAGGCAAUUCGAUCUAUACAUCUCAAGCUAAUAAGACUUACACACACUUAGA